AUUAACAAAGUUGCAAUAACAUUAUCAUGUGCCAUGUGUUCACAACACGCCACGUGAUUUUCCUUAAAAAAUGCUAUAUGUGGACACUGGCUGGAUCUUUCUACAUUGCAAUAUAGUAUUUGACUAGCAGAGAGAAAGACAGUAAUAAAGUUGACAUGUUAGUUAUUAAGUUAGCCUUUAAGGUAAAGGUCAUAUGAACUCACUUUGUAUUUAUUGUUCUUGGUGUUAUUAUGAGAUGUACAUUUUAUUUCAUUUCUUCAGUAUAUGUGAGAGAUGUAUAUUUAAUUCACUGCCAUCAAUAUUCAUUAGUUAUGAGGAAUAUUUCCUCCUUAACCGAACAUGCCAUCAAGGAGU
rnacentral:lncRNA from 1 species